AGCUUUGCUCAGUGGCAGUAUCGUAGCCAAUGAGGUUUAUCCGAGGCGCGAUUAUUGCUAAUUGAAAAAAGUACCAUAUUAAACUCUCUGGUGGGUAUAAGAAAGAUAAGCUGAGAUCUUCAACCUUCAAAAUUACUCAGUAUUUGGGAAGACAA
ensembl:snRNA U4 U4 spliceosomal RNA